UUAGAGGUUGGCUCGGCUAGCCUUCGCUCUGAUUGGAGAAACUGGCUUCUAGACAGAGGGGGACCUUGAGUUACCGCGGACUGGCUGUAAUGGGGGGCCUGGCCCCGGGCACUCAACCGUCAGAAUUAGCUAAUUGUUAUACAAUAUAGCUAAGUAGCUGAUUAAAGACGGUGGCAGUCUGGUUAAGGUAGGCUUGUAGGGGGUUCUCUCCCCGCAAGUUUGCAUGUGAUUUUAUACCUACGCGAAUGCAGCACGGUUGCAGUAAAAUUGGAACUUCAGCAGCGCGAGCUAGCCCAGCCCCCGCUAGCUGGCUAGCGAACGAGAAUUUGCUAGCGGAUCGGGGCUUCAGUCCGUAUCAGCUUAACCCUCAAACGGAAAUGAACACAGGCUAUGAUCAAUCCUCUGAGAGAAGACUGCAAGUCACUGCCAGUCAGACAAAAGGGGAUCCGCAACGAAACGGCUCACCGUUCCUUCCCUUCCUUCCUGGAAGAAACACUGUCACCCUAAAGAGCAAAUGGAAAAAUGAAAUCUGUAUAUUUUAGUUUCAUAUUUUUUUGUUAACAUGUCUAACUUUUUUAUUUUAUUUUGGUGUGUGGGGGUAUAGAUGAGAUCAUGAUGACUCUGAAGUUUCAUACCUUCUCUCUCUUAUCUGUGAUUUAUUAACAUGUUCGAUAUACAGUAGCCUGUAAGGGACUCUAAGCCUUGACGAUAUGUUUUGUAUUUCGGGAAGGAGAGGAAAAGAUGUAUGUAGUAAUAACACCAAUACCUGGCUGACUUGAGCAGAGUCUCCUACAUCUGAGACCUAGCCUGGUCCCGAGAUCUUUGUGCUGUCUUCCGUGACAUCGGCAAGAUGGCACAAACCGAUUUGGAACCAGGCGAGCAGAGUCUCCUACAUCUGAGACCUAGCCUGGUCCCGAGAUCUGUUUGUGCUGUCUUCCGUGACAUCGGCAAGAUGGCACAAACCGAUUUGGAACCAGGCGAGCAGAGUCUCCUACAUCUGAGACCUAGCCUGGUCCCGAGAUCUGUUUGUGCUGUCUUCCGUGACAUCGGCAAGAUGGCACAAACCGAUUUGGAACCAGGCGAGCAGAGUCUCCUACAUCUGAGACCUAGCCUGGUCCCGAGAUCUGUUUGUGCUGUCUUCCGUGACAUCGGCAAGAUAGCACAAACCGAUUUGGAACCAGGCGAGCAGAGGCCCAACAUCUGUGUUUUCAAACUCUACCGGUGGCCCCUUUUUGGGGGGGGCUGAGUAUAGUAACUGACAGGCAGCAGCAUGUCAUCCACUCUUCCACAGAACACAGUUGAAACAGCUGCUGGAUCCUCCAUGUUUUAACACUCAUCCAGUUCUAUCUGCUCUGUUCACCUCACACACUCAUCAGCAUUGAUCUCUGCUUAACACCGUGUGUAGUUAGACCUAGACUUAUCAUUGUCUGUACAAACACACUUAAAAAAAUCUAAUCAAAUGUUUAUUUGUGACAUGCUUCAUGAACUACAGGUGUAGACUAACAGUGACAUUCUUUAAGUCUUUUUCGAACAAGUCAGAGUUUAAAUCUUGAAAGGGAGUGGUUCCACCUCGAUGCAUAACCAUUCAAACAUUGGGUUCGGUAUUUUACCUCUAAUAGUCCUAAUCCUUCAGCUCUUUAGGUGAUUCACACCCUUCAGCUCUCAAAAAUCCUCUGCUCAUUCUCAAAACUCAAAUAUUUACAUACUCUAAAGUAUUUACUGAGGCUAAGAGUCCCCCCUUUUUUCCAUUUUAGAUUACUAAAUGCUUGGUAGCUAAUUUUAUUUUAUUGUGUUUUUUUAUUUUUAUGUAGUAUUUUAAGUUUAGAAUGUUUACGUUGCAAACUAGUAUAAAACCAUGUGUAGACACAGUGUGAUGUAUAGAAGUAGCUAUAGUAGAAAUGCAUUGUUUCCUUGUGGUAAGUGAGUGAGAUGCUGCCACGGAACUGAGACACUGAUGAUUGGUGCUAUUUUGGACUUUAAUCUGCUCCUUGGAAAGGUAGCUGAGAUGGGUUUUAUUUUUUACUUUCAUGUUCUGAUUAAGGAAGGGGUUGGUUCUUUGACGUUUGGUUGUUGUAACUCGGUCUGGAUUGGCUUUGUUUUCCCCUUGUCGUUUUCUGUGCGGCUUUCUCAUUGGACUUUAGGAAAAUAUCAACUUCUUUCAUGGUAAUGUUUUACUAAAGGGGAAGGGGGUUUAGGUGAGAAUAUUUAUGAGGUUACACCAUGUUGAUCGGAGCAAUCACAAAACUGCAAUCGUUAACACUAGUUACCCUUUAAAACUGAGAUGUGCAAUCAAAGGGAUACGUUGUAUCCAGUAGUACCCUGAGAUGUGCAAUCAAAGGGAUACGUUGUAUCCAGUAGUACCCUGAGAUGUGCAAUCAAAGGGAUACGUUGUACCCAGCACAAGUCACUUUUUUAGAGAAUGUUUACGUUUUUUGUUUAUGUUCUGAUUGACAGACAAUCUUGAAACCAAGAGUGCAUUUUUCCCCUAACGUGUUUGUUUAACAGAUCUCCUAAGCGAUUUUGCACACUUGUAAGACUCCACAGAAUGUUAAUGUCAGAUAUCCGCUUCAAGUUGGUUAGCAUAAGUAAACACUGAAACGUAAAGGUUAUUUUUAGAAAAUGGCUCUUGAGAGAACUUGAUAGUUAAAUUAUAAAAUGAAUGAACACACUUUAAUGUGUGUCAAGGCCCAGCCUGUUAGGGUUUGGGUUCAGGGUUUCAACUUUUCUUCACCAGCUGGAUAUGACUUAAUGCUAUAGUGAGUCAUGUGUGAUUAUAUAAUGUUAGUUAACAUGAGUCUGGAAUCACACGAUGCAUAUAAUCUUGUUUUAGAAAACCAUUUUCAGGGCACACAUGUAUCAUAAAGUGAUCUCCGUUUUAAAAAUUUAUAUAUUUUUCAUUGUCUUUUGAAUUAUUUAGUAAAUUAAUUGUUGACAACCUUUUUAUUAAACAACUGAAACCCCAAAGUUUUUUUUUAAUUUUAGCUAAACAAAAAUUGACAACUAGGGUUAAGGGCCUUGCUCAAGGGCACAUUGACAGAUUUGUCUCCUAGUUGUCUCGGGGAUUCAAACCAGCAACCUUUCAGUUACUGGCCCAAUGCUCUUAGCCUAGUGGUUAUCUGCCGCCUGCUAGAGAUUUAAAACACCAAAGUUAUGUCAGUAUUUGCAGUUUUGUUUUUGCUUCUUUUUUUUAUAUAGUUAAAUAUUCUAAUUAAUAUAAUAAUAACCAACUUGAAAGCCCACUUUAGUUUUCUUUUGUCUUCCAUUCUCCCUCGAUAUUGGGACCUAUUGAACCAGCAUGUUCUGGUCUUGUUAAUUGCGUGCUCUCUUUUCGUCAUUGUGGUUUUUGUUUUUGUGAAGAAAAAUAUAUAUAUCCUCUUGCAAUUCUUAAUAUGAAUGCUGUUUUGUACAUAGCAAAGUGAAUAGCGUAGGCUGGAUGUUUUGCGUGAGGUAUUCAGUAUUUACCACUAAGGUUGAAAAAAUAUAUAUACAGUAUGCCAGCUUUGGAAAAAUGAUUAUAACGAUGCGCUUAACUUACAGUAUCCCAUGUACUUUACUUUGGCAAUUUUAGAAGUAGUGCAAUAAAUAUGCAAGCUUGUAAUUUGGUGUUUUA